GAGUAACACGUGGGUAACCUGCCCAUAAGACUGGGAUAACUCCGGGAAACCGGGGCUAAUACCGGAUAACAUUUUGAACCGCAUGGUUCGAAAUUGAAAGGCGGCUUCGGCUGUCACUUAUGGAUGGACCCGCGUCGCAUUAGCUAGUUGGUGAGGUAACGGCUCACCAAGGCAACGAUGCGUAGCCGACCUGAGAGGGUGAUCGGCCACACUGGGACUGAGACACGGCCCAGACUCCUACGGGAGGCAGCAGUAGGGAAUCUUCCGCAAUGGACGAAAGUCUGACGGAGCAACGCCGCGUGAGUGAUGAAGGCUUUCGGGUCGUAAAACUCUGUUGUUAGGGAAGAACAAGUGCUAGUUGAAUAAGCUGGCACCUUGACGGUACCUAACCAGAAAGCCACGGCUAACUACGUGCCAGCAGCCGCGGUAAUACGUAGGUGGCAAGCGUUAUCCGGAAUUAUUGGGCGUAAAGCGCGCGCAGGUGGUUUCUUAAGUCUGAUGUGAAAGCCCACGGCUCAACCGUGGAGGGUCAUUGGAAACUGGGAGACUUGAGUGCAGAAGAGGAAAGUGGAAUUCCAUGUGUAGCGGUGAAAUGCGUAGAGAUAUGGAGGAACACCAGUGGCGAAGGCGACUUUCUGGUCUGUAACUGACACUGAGGCGCGAAAGCGUGGGGAGCAAACAGGAUUAGAUACCCUGGUAGUCCACGCCGUAAACGGAGGAGUGCUAAGUGUUAGAAGGUUUCCGCCCUUUAGUGCUGAAGUUAACGCAUUAAACACUCCGCCUGGGGAGUACGGCCGCAAGGGUGGAAAUUAAAGGAAUUGGCGGGGGGCCGGCCCAGGGGUUGGGGCAGUGGUUUAAUUUGGAGGCAAGGGGAGGACCUUUCCCGGUUUUGGCCUUCUUUGGCCACCCUUGGGGUUGGGGUUUUUCUUUGGGGGCCGAGGGCCGGUGGGGGCAGGUUGUUGUUAGGUUGGGUUGGGGGGAGGUGGGGUUAGUUCCGGCACGGGGGCCACCCUUGGUUUUUGGUGCCCUCCAUUAAGUGGGCCAUUUUAGGGGGAUUCCGGGGGCCAACCGGGGGGAGGGGGGGGAGGAGUUAAAUUCUUCUUCCCCUUAUGGCCUGGGGUUCCCCCGGGGUUCCAAGGGCGGUUCCAAGGAGUGCAGGCCGGGGGGGGGGAGUUAUUUUAUUAAACCGUUUUCCGGUUGGGAUGUUGGGUGGCACUUGCCUUCCAGGGAGGUGGGAUUGGUUGGUAUUGGGGGUUCGCCAGCCGGGGGGGAAUCGGUUCCGGGCCUUGGUCCCCC
rnacentral:rRNA from 1 species